UUAUCGCUAGUUCAUUUGUAUAACAAUGGCUACAUAUAUUUUUUAGCUUUUGCCAGUUUAGGGUCUUUGACCGAAACGGGUUGUCCAUAUAAAUGGCUGUGUUCAUGAUCAAUUCAAAAAUAUUUAAAUUCUUCUUUUAAACUGCAACUCUUCAUUCAUUUAUUUCAGCAAAAUACAGAUUGAGCGAAAAGACAAAGUGCGAACACCCAAAGAUGUGCUCAUUAUUAUCAGGAUGGACAACAGUUUAUGCUUUUGAUAAAGCAGUCAUGCCAAGGAAGAGAUUAGCAUGUAACCAGCAAAGUUCAUCCUUGUCUUCAACACUAUGAUCUUCGAAAAUGCAUUUUGCCAAUUUGCGUUUUGGUGAACCUGAGCUUACCAAGUUUACAUCUUACUGUCAGUUUGGACAUUGUGUAGAUAAUAAUAUGGACAAUAUAUUGUGUUGUGAUUGACUGUUUUUUUAACAGAUUAAGUGUUUUAUUCCAGACUUAACAUGUCAUUUUUCAUCAAGGAAUAAACAAAAAUACAAUUGUAUUGAUAUGCAUGAAUUUGUAGUACAAAAUAUCAACAAUGUGUAUCUUAUGUUGUUUUUUAACAGUCUGUCAUCCAUAAGCAAUCAUAUUAAGCAUGUUAAGUAUGUUAAGGGAAUAUAAUGUAUACAUUUUUGUUGUUUCUGCAAACUAAGUCAGAUACAUGAAAAUCUGUUUUAUGAUCAAUGAUGAAAAACUCACUCAUAGUGAUCUCACUAUAAAAUAUUCUGUCCAGUGUAAUAAAUAAAUUGUAUUGUAUGCCUGGUAUGUGUUCUAAAAAUAAAAUCACAAAUACUGUUGAUGUUCAUAUUGACAUCAAGAUAUGUGAUGUAAACAUAUGUAGUCAUAUUAUGUAUACAUGUAUAUUGUUUUUACCGGUAGACAAAAAUUACGAAGUGUAACGUUCAAUCUAUGAUGAUGUGUGCAAUUAAAUAUGUCUUGCUUUGCAUUGACCGUUCCAAGGCGGUGACCCCAGCUUUAUUCAUAUUUUGUGUUUAUGUUGGUUUGUAUUGUGCUGUAUUGUGCUGUUUUGUACUGUUUUGGCAAUCGGUCACUUGCCUUAAAUAAAGGACCAACUAAUUGCUUUUAAUGAGAAUUCAAUACUGCUCCAGCAGCUGGAGUUUCACUUCUUUAUAUUGCUGAUUGCUAAAAUUUUGUUUAAGUUAAAAAUCGUGUUU